rnacentral:rRNA from 1 species
CUACGGGAGGCUGCAGUGGGGAAUAUUGGACAAUGGGCGAAAGCCUGAUCCAGCCAUGCCGCGUGUGUGAAGAAGGCCUUCGGGUUGUAAAGCACUUUCAGUGGGGAAGAAAGCCUUGGGGCUAAUACCCUCGAGGAAGGACAUCACCCACAGAAGAAGCACCGGCUAACUCCGUGCCAGCAGCCGCGGUAAUACGGAGGGUGCGAGCGUUAAUCGGAAUUACUGGGCGUAAAGCGCGCGUAGGCGGUCUGAUAAGCCGGUUGUGAAAGCCCCGGGCUCAACCUGGGAACGGCAUCCGGAACUGUCAGGCUAGAGUGCAGGAGAGGAAGGUAGAAUUCCCGGUGUAGCGGUGAAAUGCGUAGAGAUCGGGAGGAAUACCAGUGGCGAAGGCGGCCUUCUGGACUGACACUGACGCUGAGGUGCGAAAGCGUGGGUAGCAAACAGGAUUAGAUACCCCUGUAGUC